rnacentral:rRNA from 1 species
AUUGAACGCUGGCGGCAGGCUUAACACAUGCAAGUCGAGCGAACGGCGGAAGGGUGGGUAAUGUAUGGGGACCGCCCGCUAGAGGGGGAUAACUACUGGAAACCGUGUCGAAGAUCGCAGACUGUCGGAUAAACUAUAUGGGAGUAGCUAGUUGGUAAGGUAAUGGCGUACCUAGGCGACGAUCCCUAGCUGGUCUGAGAGGAGGAUCAGCCACACUGGGACUGAGACACGGCCCAGACUCCUACGGAGGCAGCAGUGGGGAAUAUUGCACAAUGGGCGCAAGCCUGAUGCAGCCAUGCCGCGUGUAUGAAGAAGGCCCUAGGGUUGUAAAGUACUUUCAGUCGGGAGGCGUUACCGACAGAAGAAGCACCGGCUAACUCCGUGCCAGCCGCCGCGGUAAUUC